rnacentral:rRNA from 1 species
UGGGGAAUUUUGGACAAUGGGCGAAAGCCUGAUCCAGCAAUGCCGCGUGUGUGAAGAAGGCCUUCGGGUUGUAAAGCACUUUUGUCCGGAAAGAAAUCCUCUGGGUUAAUACCUCGGGGGGAUUACGGUACCGGAAGAAUAAGCACCGGCUAACUACGUGCCAGCAGCCGCGGUAAUACGUAGGGUGCAAGCGUUAAUCGGAAUUACUGGGCGUAAAGCGUGCGCAGGCGGUUUUGUAAGACGGAUGUGAAAUCCCCGGGCUUAACCUGGGAACUGCAUUCGUGACUGCAAGGCUAGAGUAUGGCAGAGGGGGUAGAAUUCCACGUGUAGCAGUGAAAUGCGUAGAGAUGUGGAGGAAUACCGAUGGCGAAGGCAGCCCCCUGGGCCAAAUACUGACGCUCAUGCACGAAAGCGUGGGGAGCAAAACAGGAUUAGAUACCCUGGUAGUCCACGCCCUAAAACGAUGUCAACUAGUUGUUGGGGAUUCAUUUCCUUAGUAACGUAGCUAACGCGUGAAGUUGACCGCCUGGGGAGUACGGUCGCAAGAUUAAAACUCAAAUGAAUUGACGGGG